rnacentral:rRNA from 1 species
AGUCGGGAAUAUUGGGCAAUGGGCGAAAGCCUGACCCAGCAACGCCGCGUGAAGGAUGAAGGCCCUAGGGUCGUAAACUUCUGUCGAGAGGGAAGAAUGCUUGCGGACCAAUAAUCCGUAAGUUUGACGGUACCUCCAAAGGAAGCACCGGCUAACUCCGUGCCAGCAGCCGCGGUAAUACGGAGGGUGCAAGCGUUGUUCGGAUUUAUUGGGCGUAAAGCGAGUGUAGGCGGCAUAGCAAGUCGGGUGUGAAAUCCCAGGGCCCAACCCUGGAACUGCACCCGAUACUGCUAGGCUAGAAUUCCGGAGAGGGUGGCGGAAUUCCCGGUGUAGGGGUGAAAUCCGUAGAUAUCGGGAGGAACACCAGUGGCGAAGGCGGCCACCUGGACGGUAAUUGACGCUGAGACUCGAAAGCGUGGGUAGCAAACAGGAUUAGAUACCCUGGUAGUCCACGCCGUAAACGGUGAGUGCUCGUCGUCGUGGGUAUUGACCCCUGCGGUGACCAAGUUA